rnacentral:rRNA from 1 species
UACGUAGGCAGCAAGCGUUGUUCGGAGUUACUGGGCGUAAAGGGUGUGUAGGCGGUUUUCUAAGUCUGGUGUGAAAUCUCCCGGCUCAACUGGGAGGGUGCGCCGACAACUGGAAGGCUAGAGUGCGGGAUGGGAGAGUGGAGUUCCUGGUGUAGCGGUGAAAUGCGUAGAUAUCAGGAGGAACACCUGUGGUGUAGACGGCUCUCUGGACCGCAACUGACGCUGAGACACAAAAGCGUGGGUAGCAAACAGG